rnacentral:tRNA from 1 species
GGUGUUGCUGAGUGGUAGAGCUCUUGCCUUCUAUUUAUGAGGUCCUGGGUUCAAUCCCCAGCUCAACCA